UACGUAGGGGGCAAGCGUUGUCCGGAUUUAUUGGGCGUAAAGCGCGUGUAGGCGGCCAGGUAGGUCUGCUGUGAAAACUCGAGGCUCAACCUCGAGAUGUCGGCGGAAACCCUCUGGCUAGAGUCCGGAAGGGGAGAGUGGAAUGCCGAGUGUAGAGGUGAAAUUCGUAGAUAUUCGGCGGAACACCAGUGGCGAAGGCGACUCACUGGCCCGAUACUGACGCUGAGGCGCGAAAGCGUGGGGAGCAAACAGG
rnacentral:rRNA from 1 species